rnacentral:snRNA from 1 species
AAUAAAUCGUGGAUUUGGACUUA